GCCCGCAUGUAAGCAUGGGUAAAAACCACUGAAGGGUCUAGCUGCAUAUAUUAGCCACCGCAUAUACGGUAAGACUGUAAGACUGAAGUUAUGCGUUGGCUAAUAUAUGCAGCAAAUCGCUUCAGUGCUUUUUACCCAUGCUUACAUGCGGGCUUGUCGCGUAGUCGCAAAGCCGGUUGAUGGCAACCUUUUGUCAAACGACUGUGUGAUUAUCGAUUAACACAGUCGUCCCGAGUUGCGCAAUAUUAUACGCAAGAGUCUUUGCCCAUUCAACUGGCGCAUUUCAGCAAUCUUCGAUUGCCGCCAUCUUGAAUAUUGAAAUCUCACCUGAGAAUCGCUUGUACUUGUGCAGUCAAAACGGCAAGUCUGGCUAUUUUAUUACUACAAAUGGAAUCAAGGUUUUGCUAUCUAUAAUGCCAUCGCUUAAAAUCAUUCUCAAUUUGGAAUUUAACCCCGUAUUAUUUCGUCUUGGAAAGAUUUGCGAUUCCACACGAGACGAGGCAGACUCGAUUCUCCCAAUACUACUACUACAACAACUACUACUACCAUCAGAUACAAGUACAUGAAGACUGCUACAAGGCCUAAGUUAAAAUGCUCUGGGUGCUUGGGAAUGAACUAGAGCAUAUCCAAGCAAGAAAGGUGAAGUAAAAGCUAACAGCGGAUUGAAGCCGGCAACAGAUGUAACAUAGGAAGAACAGCAUCAGAAAGUAAGUGAAUUUAUGCAAAUUACUCAUGACUAAAACCAGUAAAUCAUCUCUGCUACUUGACAAGUCUGCGCUCUUCAAUUGGAAUCCUGUUAGUUAUUAACCCAUUGACUCCUGGCUAUUUUCUAGCUGAAUUUACAAAAAAAAAAACAGACCUAAAACAGAUACCUCAUCUAUUAAGCCUGGCUGAUUGUGUAAUUUAGGAAAAUAUCCAUACCCCCCACAGAGGGUUUGGCUCAAAGUCCCAGGAAAUUUCAGGGGGUUUGGUAGUAUAGUGCAUUUCACCAUUUCCAGGAGGUCAAUUUUGCUCCAGGAUCUCAAACAGCUACACAAAUUCAAUAGUUUGCAAAGAUUGUUGCAGCUAUGAUGCUGGAGAAAUUCACCUAUAGCCUCUAAUGAUAUGUUAACUGUACAGAAGUAGUAGUUUCCUGUUUAGUCCUUGUGUGCGAAAGUUGGUAUUUCAGGAUCACACAAAAUGUACUCCACCCCUGAAUAUCUGUCACCAUCAGCUGGUGCUCUGACUUCUGAUUGGAAAAUGCUUUAGCUUUCUGGCGUAAUUCUGUAUCCUCUUCCUGACAAAGAGAGCCAUCAUUGUUUAUCAACUUCACGAAAGGGCUUUCAAUGAAGGGCUUCGGUGUGGUGCACUCAUUGCCUAAAGUUGAAUAAAAAACUUUGUUGUAACUAAAAGUCUGGCCAAACUCCAGUGAUGGUGCCUCCAAAUCUAUGGACUGUGCAAAGUUCUCUGCCAGUGCAUUUAGUUGCACUGACUUUCUUGUGUGAUACGUCAUAGUCUGACUCGUUCGAGCAUUGGUCAGACAUGGGGUUCGUCCGAUUUGGCUCUAAUUUGGCAUGCAGGCUUCUUUUGGGUCCUCUAGUACGGAUUUGCAU